rnacentral:rRNA from 1 species
AGAUGAACGCUGGCGGCAGGCCUAACACAUGCAAGUCGAACGGUAACAGGAAGAAGCUUGCUUCUUUGCUGACGAGUGGCGGACGGGUGAGUAAUGUCUGGGAAACUGCCUGAUGGAGGGGGAUAACUACUGGAAACGGUAGCUAAUACCGCAUAACGUCGCAAGACCAAAGAGGGGGACCUUCGGGCCUCUUGCCAUCGGAUGUGCCCAGAUGGGAUUAGCUAGUAGGUGGGGUAACGGCUCACCAAGGCGACGAUCCCUAGCUGGUCUGAGAGGAUGACCAGCCACACUGGAACUGAGACACGGUCCAGACUCCUACGGGAGGCAGCAGUGGGGAAUAUUGCACAAUGGGCGCAAGCCUGAUGCAGCCAUGCCGCGUGUAUGAAGAAGGCCUUCGGGUUGUAAAGUACUUUCAGCGGGGAGGAAGGGAGUAAAGUUAAUACCUUGCUCAUGACGUACCCGCAGAAGAAGCACC